GUGGACAAAAUGUUUAAAAUUUGCAGUUUAAAACAUGCACAUCCACAAAAGGCCAAUGACACAUAACACUGCAGAGAAAUGAAUAUACUCAACUUUAAAUAACUAUUUAUAAAACACAGUGCGUUGAACAUCAAGAUAAACAAACCCGAGAAAACUACUAUGAUCACAGGACCAACACUCUCACUCAUGCAGCUUCACAAUUUCUACAGCAGUUUCAGCAGGAAUGGUUUUUCAUGGAGCUGAAAAUACUACUUUAUCUUUAACGCAAAGUGCAGUUUUCCAUAGCUGCCUUCCAAGGCUGCCUUUUUAUUUUUAACCUAACAAAGCUGAAAAUAUGAAAAACAAAGCUUGAAGUAGUUAAAAAACAAACAGCAUUUACUGCAUUUACGGCUUCUAUUCUAGAACCAUGAAACAUAAAAAUAUCUAUUUUUAACAUUCUGCUCACAUCUUUGUAAGAGCAGACUACCUACGGAAAAUUGCUGUUAAUUCAAAGUAAGCAAAUAUGAAAUCUAGAUUUUUUUCCUACUUAAGGGAGAUUUAUUUGCCAAGAAGUUUUGUGAGCUUUAUUAAGAAAAGUUCUUAGAGGCAAGCUAAACAAAAGAUUCAAUUAAAUUUGUUCAAAUUUGUUUGUAAAAUAAUCUACUUACUAAAAAAAAAAAAAAAAAAAGUUGUGUGGAGGACCAGUUAAUUUGUCCACUGAAUAUUAAAAUCCAGGUAGGCCAUGACAGAAUUUUAUAAGGCAGAAAUAAACAUCAAGAUUUACAGCAAUAGUCAUGCAUUGGCCUGGAUCACUUUAAAUAUUAAUUCAUGCAAACCAUAAACCUAUCAAAAACACAGCUGCUUUCAUACAGAAAAUAAAUCAAGAUGAAAAAUAGAAAACAUUUAUUUCAUUUCCUUCAAAAUUUAACUUACAAUCCACUUUAAUAGCUGUUGAAGGUUAAUUAAAAUGGAGCAAAGUAUAACUAAGUUUCACAAGUGACUUCAGUUAUUUUAAUGUGAGAAAAAUCAGACAAUGGUACUUUAAGAGGCAUUAUAGAAACAUUCAUCAUUAAAAGCAUUUAUUAGGCACUGAACUGCAUGGUGUUACCAUAAGUAAUCUACAAAAGAAUUCCACAGACCUAGUCAUUGUGAUGUAAACGGCUGGGGAUUUUCUUGAUAAAUUUGAUUAAAGAUUUAGUCAAUGAAAUAAGUUUUAAAACCAGAAACCAUCAAAGGGCAACUGCAUGAAAACAAACCCGUAAUGAUUAUGUGGCUUUGUAAUACUUGUGAUACAAAUACUUUAAGAUUAUGAAUAUAUAGUCUAUUACUUUCUGACUAGCAUUCAUUUUUCUGAAAGAACAUUUUAUGACAGGAUACAUGCCAUACAGUGCACAUAAUGCAGAAGAAUUUAGCAUGUGACUCUCAUAGUUGAUAUUCACAAUGCUAAAUUUAAAAAUUAAAAAUACAAAAAUUUAUGAUGAGGAUAAAUGAUGACUGAUUUCUAUAAUUUAUCCCUCCUCCCCACCCUAGAAAAUUAAGAGGAAUCUGUGAUUCCACUGAAUGACCAUACAGCUCAUAUAAGUGGCUAAUUUUAUUUAGCAGAAUACACAUGCACCUGAUUUGAGAGAAGCUUUUCCAGUGGGUUCACAACACUUCUGGCACUUCCUGCACGGUGCAAUAGGAAAGCACAAAGUGGAGGGGAGGGAGGAGCACACUUAGCAUUUUAAAUUUACUACAUUCCUGAGAAAUACUGUUUUCCUGCUAAUAAACUCUACAAUACAGCAUCUUUCUGGGUGUCAGACACUGAUAUACUCUCAUGAAUAUAUAAAACAUUUAGAAAAUCCAUGUUCAGUACCACCGUGCAGUAUUCAACAUUAAAGAAGCAGCUCCCAGUGUUUCAGUGCUAAAGGAAGGUUUUGUAUCAUAAGUAGUAUUUUCUGAAUUGUAAACAUUAUACAGAAACUAUGUAAGCAUUUGCCACAGUCCUUACAAGGAACGUUUUAAUUGAACAGUAUGUGUUCUUUAUUUUAGAAAAUAAAUGUUAAAAGUCGCUUUGAUUGGUUAUUUUAAUUCUGGUAAAACCGUGUGUCUCUCCUGCACCCCACCCCAAUUCAGGAGAUUAAAACUCAAGAGCAUUUUCUCUAAUUUAAGUAAAACUGUAAAGUCACCGCAAUUGCAGUGCUGUAUUUCAAAUUUAGCAAAGUGGUCAUUCCCUGCCCCUUAUGCCCUACCUUUACCCAAUAAGCAAAGAGACUGGCUUAAUGUCCAGGAUUGGAAAAUUGGAUCAUUGGACAAAUAGGCAUAAAUCAGUCACGUUUCGGAGCAUGAUGUUCACUGAUUAACCGUGAGUAUUCUUUUCAUGUUGAAGAGCUCUAUUGAAACAGUCCAUGUUUCAAGAUGAAAAUAAAACUUCUAAUUUUCAGGUUUAAGUCAGAAAACUCAAUUCUCUUUUGUUUUUAACCUUCUGAUAUUAAAAAUUUGGAGAAAGAUGUGACUGAUGAAGUGCAAGCAAAUGGAAACAGAUCUUCUCUGGAAGAAUGCACUUCAUUCUUGCUGAGUUUUGUAGUUUGAGCACAACUAUCACCACAAGGAGACCCUGGAAAAUACACUCUGAAGAUCCAUCCCACAGACAAAGUCUGCAACUCCAGAAUUUCAAAGAUUUUAGACUCUGCAUCUGUGGUCUUGUUGGAUGUUUUGAUUCAUGAUUUUUCUAAUCUGAACCUCAAUUGGAAGUCUAAGAAGUAAAAUGUAUAAAAAUCCCUGUUCUCCUUAGAUUAGAAUUAUUUAUAUGUAUUAUACACUGUUAUUUGCAGAAAAUGUGGAUUUAUACUUAUAACCAGCUGUAUAUAC
ensembl:lncRNA